rnacentral:rRNA from 1 species
CGUGUAGGCGGCAGGACAAGUCAGAUGUGAAAGCCCCCGGCUUAACCGGGGAGGUGCAUUUGAAACUGUUUUGCUUGAGUGCGAGAGGGGUAGUGGAAUUCCCAGUGUAGCGGUGAAAUGCGUAGAUAUUGGGAAGAACACCAGUAGCGAAGGCGGCUACCUGGCUCGCAACUGACGCUAAGGCGCGAAAGCGUGGGGAGCAAACA